rnacentral:rRNA from 1 species
AGUGAACGCUGGCGGUAGGCCUAACACAUGCAAGUCGAACGGCAGCACAGUAAGAGCUUGCUCUUACGGGUGGCGAGUGGCGGACGGGUGAGGAAUACAUCGGAAUCUACUAUUUCGUGGGGGAUAACGUAGGGAAACUUACGCUAAUACCGCAUACGACCUACGGGUGAAAGCAGGGGAUCUUCGGACCUUGCGCGAUUGAAUGAGCCGAUGUCGGAUUAGCGAGUUGGCGGGGUAAAGGCCCACCAAGGCGACGCUCCGUAGCUGGUCUGAGAGGAUGAUCAGCAACACGGGAACUGAGACACGGCCCAGACUCCUACGGGAGGCAGCAGUGGGAAUAUUGGACAAUGGGCGCAAGCCUGAUCCAGCCAUACCGCGUGGGUGAAGAAGGCCUUCGGGUUGUAAAGCCCUUUUGUUGGGAAAGAAAAGCAGCAGGUUAAUACCCCGCUGUUCUGACGGUACCCAAAGAAUAAGCACCGGCUAACUUCGUG